rnacentral:rRNA from 1 species
UACGUAGGUGACAAGCGUUGUCCGGAUUUACUGGGCGUAAAGAGCGCGCAGGCGGUCGAUCAAGUCGAGUGUGAAAGCCCCCGGCUCAACUGGGGAGGGUCAUUCGAUACUGAUCGACUCGAAGGCAGGAGAGGGUAGUGGAAUUCCCGGUGUAGUGGUGAAAUGCGUAGAUAUCGGGAGGAACACCGAUGGCGAAGGCAGGUCUCUGGGCUGUAACUGACGCUGAGGAGCGAAAGCAUGGGGAGCGAACAGG